rnacentral:rRNA from 1 species
AUACGGAGGGUGCAAGCGUUAAUCGGAAUUACUGGGCGUAAAGAGCACGUAGGUGGCUAAAUAAGUCAGAUGUGAAAGCCCCGGGCUUAACCUGGGAACUGCAUUUGAUACUGUCUAGCUAGAGUUUAGUAGAGGGAGGUGGAAUUCCACAUGUAGCGGUGAAAUGCGUAGAUAUGUGGAGGAACAUCAGUGGCGAAGGCGGCCUCCUGGACUAAAACUGACACUGAGGUGCGAAAGCGUGGGGAGCAAACAGGAUUAGAAACCCCGGUAGUCC